CCUACGGGCGGCAGCAGUGGGGAAUAUUGCUCAAUGGGGGAAACCCUGAAGCAGCAAAGCCGCGUGAGGGAUGAAGGUUUUCCGGUUGUAAACCCCUUUUGGUAGGGGAGAAAAUGGCGGUACCUGACGAAUAAGCACCGGCUAACUACGUACCAGCAGCCGCGGUAAUACGUAGGGGGCAAGCGUUACCCGGAUUUACUGGGCGUAAAGGGAGCGUAGGCGGGAUAGAAAGUCCGGUGGGAAAUCCUGGGGCUUAACCCUAGAACUGCGUUUGAAACUGUUCUUCUGGAGUAUGGGAGAGGUAGGCGGAAUUCCUGGUGUAGCGGUAAAAUGCGUAGAUAUCACGAGGAACACCGAUUGCGAAGGCGGCCUGCCGGAACCUAACUGACGCUGAUGCGCGAAAGCGUGGGGAGCAAACAGGAUUAGAUACCCUUGUAGUC
rnacentral:rRNA from 1 species